rnacentral:rRNA from 1 species
UACGGGGGGGGCAAGCGUUGUUCGGAAUUACUGGGCGUAAAGGGCUCGUAGGCGGCCAACUAAGUCAGACGUGAAAUCCCUCGGCUUAACCGGGGAACUGCGUCUGAUACUGGAUGGCCUGAGUGUGGGAGAGGGAUGCGGAAUUCCAGGUGUAGCGGUGAAAUGCGUAGAUAUCUGGAGGAACACCGGUGGCGAAGGCGGCAUCCUGGACCACGACUGACGCUGAGUGAGCGAAAGCCAGGGGAGCAAACGGG